GACUGGUGAGCAAAGCUUCCACACUUCGUGAGAAUGCUGAAGAAUCAGUGGUGGGAAUGAAGUGGGACACAGAUGUAGAAGCAGGGUUGGGUCUCAUCAACACCUUGAUGGGUGAAAGAUCAG